rnacentral:misc_RNA from 1 species
UAUUAAGAAAACAAUUCAAAGCCGGAAACAAUGUCUUGCAAUGGCCAUACCCAAUCAGCAGCUGCCUGUAGUGUUACAUGAUCACCCCACUCACCACUCAUGGACAUCUUUUCCAAAUAAUCAUCAUAUGCCAUGGGAACAUAUCCCUCAUAAAUCUCCCGAUGUGAUUUGAGCUGAUUCACAACAUUUUCUCUCACCAUCUUGUGGCGAUCAGAUGUUCCAAAUAGUUGAUCUGAUAAAGCACGGAACUG